rnacentral:rRNA from 1 species
UACAGAGGGUGCAAGCGUUGUUCGGAAUUAUUGGGCGUAAAGCGCGUGUAGGCGGCUUUGCAAGUCGGGUGUGAAAUCCCCCAGCUCAACUGGGGAAGUGCGCUCGAAACUGCAGAGCUCGAGUACCGGAGAGGAUGGCGGAAUUCCCCAAGUAGAGGUGAAAUUCGUAGAUAUGGGGAGGAACACCGGUGGCGAAGGCGGCCAUCUGGACGGAUACUGACGCUGAGACGCGAAAGCGUGGGUAGCAAACAGG